UGCACGGUGGUGCAGUUGUUAGCACUGUUGCCUUGCACGAUGAAGGUCCUGGGUUCAAUUCUCGGCCGGGGGUCUUUCUGCAU